UUAUGGCUUUUGAUGGGUGAAUUUUAUAGGGAUGUGGAGAAAAGUGGUAAUUAAAUAAAUAUAACUGGAGUUUUGAUUUUUAGUUUUCUUUUAUUUUUUGGUUCUGUUUGUCACUUGUCAGUCUUUUUCAGCAACCAAAACUGGAAGGUUAGAUUAUUUGGUGUUGGUGAUACACUGAUUUGAGGUGAGUUUGGCUGUUUGAAGAUUUAUGAUGCUUGGCAGGACGUUUGCCUCUUUUUAAGACUAGUUUGUCAAUUUUUUGGAGGCUGGGGAUUGGCCACAGCAGCUGGGUGGGUGGGGGAAUCAUGUUUAAACUUCCUUUGUUGAAAUUUUGUUGAAUUUUUAGGUACGAGUUAGCUGAAGAUUGUGCUGAUGAUGACGAUGCAAAGGUUGGAAUCUCUGAGUUGAGGAAGGCGGUUUUAGAGGAGCUGAAGAUGCAUAAUUCACUGGUACAGGAGUGGGGAUUGGACCUUGCAAAAGAGAACAAUAUUAAUUCUGCAACGGUAAAAUACACACAAUUCCUGUUAGCCACAGCCUCUGGGAAGAUUGAAGGACUAAAAGGUGCUGGUAAACUCGCAACACCAUUUGAGAAAACAAAAA